ACUAUGUAAUAAUACAUGGCGCCUCCUGAUCUUUUUAACAACCUGCUACCGGCCGUAGCUGGCAUCGCCACCGACAUGACCAUCACCGUCGGACGGCAGCUGCUGCUUCUCGUCCUCGUCUUGGGCUUCCUCCUCCUCCUCCUCCUCUUCCCGCUCCACGUCUUAUCGCCGGUUGCCGCCACGGCCGACCUGAGCUACCCGGAGGCGACGGAAUUUGGCGUCCGGGAGGAUCUGGUGGUGAUGAGGAGGGAGGAGUACGACGAAGGGCGGAUCCUGGACAUCACCCACGCGUACCACGAGGACAUGCCGGCGGGAGGGACGGAAGAGGGGCUCGGCCGCUUCCUCUGGCUCGCUAAGUCCAUGAGGAACGGAUCCCUCGCCAACAGCUCCGUGAUGAAGUUUUCGGUCCACUCCGGCACCCACGUCGACGCCCCUGGUCACCUAUUCCAGCACUACUUCGACGCCGGCUUCGAUGUUGACUCGCUCGACCUCGGCGUCCUCAAUGGUCCGGCAUUGUUGGUGGAUGUUCCAAGAGACACGAACAUUACAGCUGAUGUAAUGGAGUCCCUGCAUAUUCCAAGAGGAGUUCGCCGUGUGCUUUUCAGGACAUUAAAUACUGACAGAAAACUUAUGUGGAAAAAAGAGUUUGAUGCAAGCUUUGUUGGAUUCAUGAAGGAUGGUGCACAGUGGCUGGUUGAUAACACUGAUAUUAAACUCGUUGGUAUUGACUAUGUGUCAAUUGCUGCUUUUGAUGAUCUGAUCCCUUCUCAUGUGGUUUUUCUCAAAACUCGGGAGAUCAUUAUCGUGGAAUCCUUAAAGUUGGAUAACAUCAAGCCUGGGAUAUACUCUUUACACUGCUUACCUCUUCGGUUACGAGGCGCUGAGGGAUCACCGGUCAGGUGUAUUCUUAUUAAAUGAUCAUCACCAUGGAGAAUUCCAGAGAAGACCCCUCUUCUCUCCUCCGGUGUUGUUGCUGAGGAGAGGAGUUACAUUAUAAUGACUCGCACGCAUCCUCUCCUGCAGCAGCGUCGACCAGCGGUGAUGCCCAACGAGGGCGGAUUGUUUCUCUUGCACAGAUAGCACAUCAAUGUGUACCAUGAGUAUCCUAAAAAUUUGCUUGGUGGUGAGUUGUUUAGUUAACCAUUAGUUGCAGAAAGUUUGCAAGGAUUUCACUGCUUGAUGGUUAGGUCGGUACGUAUUAUUGCCGUGUACCACCACCAAGAUCAUUCUUUUGUUAUGAAAGCUCAUGUUAACAUA